rnacentral:rRNA from 1 species
AUUCCAGCUCCAAUAGCGUAUAUUAAAGUUGUUGCAGUUAAAAAGCUCGUAGUUGGAUUUCUGGUGAGUUCGUUUGGCCGGCCGUAAAGGUCUGUGCCGAAAUGUUAUUCGCCAUCCUUGGUGUAAUCUUGUCCGCCAUUAAGUUGUGUGGGCUUGAGGAUGCCAUCGUUUACUGUGAAAAAAUUAGAGUGUUCAAAGCAGGCUUAUGCCGUUGAAUACAUUAGCAUGGAAUAAUAAGAUAGGACCCUGGUACUAUUUUGUUGGUUUGCGUACCUAGGUAAUGAUUAAUAGGGACAGUUGGGGGUAUUUGUAUUCCGUUGUCAGAGGUGAAAUUCUUGGAUUUACGGAAGACAAACUACUGCGAAAGCAUUUACCAAGGAUGUUUUCAUCA